CCCUUAGAUGUCCUGGGCCGCACGCGCGCUACACUGACAUGUUCAACAAGCCCCCUAGUUCGACAGGAUUUGGGAAAUCUUUGAACGCAUGUCGUGAUAGGGAUAGAUCAUUGCAAUUAUUGAUCUUGAACGAGGAAUUCCUAGUAAACGCGAGUCAUCAGCUCGCAUUGAUUACGUCCCUGCCCUUUGUACACACCGCCCGUCGCACCUACCGAUUGAAUGUUUCGGUGAAGAUUCCGGAUAGGACUUUUUUGAUUUAUUUCAAUUUUGUCUUAAAAGCUAUCUAAACCUCAACAUUUAGAGGAAGGUGAAGUCGCAACA
rnacentral:rRNA from 1 species